GCCCCCUGCUAACUGGGCAAAGAGGCACCUUGAUGGUGGUGUCCUUCUUAAAUCUAGCAGGGGUAGAGCAGUUCUCCCUAUUCAUCCCAGUGCAGUCCUUCUGUGGCCGUUGGCUGGUUCAUGCUGGGGAGACAAGA